AUUGACACACCAGUUCUCAUACAAUCACUGAAGUUAAGCAAUGUCCGUCCUGGUCAGUAACUAGAUGGGUGACUGCUUGGGAAUACCAAAUGCUGUUAG